GACGAACGCUGGCGGCGUGCUUAACACAUGCAAGUCGAACGGAAAGGCCCUGCUUUUGUGGGGUGCUCGAGUGGCGAACGGGUGAGUAACACGUGAGUAACCUGCCCUUGACUUUGGGAUAACUUCAGGAAACUGGGGCUAAUACCGGAUAGGAGCUCCUGCUGCAUUGUGGGGGUUGGAAAGUUUCGGCGGUUGGGGAUGGACUCGCGGCUUAUCAGCUUGUUGGUGGGGUAGUGGCUUACCAAGGCUUUGACGGGUAGCCGGCCUGAGAGGGUGACCGGGCACAUUGGGACUGAGAUACGGCCCAGACGCCUACGGGAGGCAGCAGUGGGGAAUAUUGCACAAUGGGCGGAAGCCUGAUGCAGCAACGCCGCGUGCGGGAUGACGGCCUUCGGGUUGUAAACCGCUGUCGCCUGUGACGAAGCGUGAGUGACGGUAAUGGGUAAAGAAGCACCGGCUAACUACGUG
rnacentral:rRNA from 1 species